GGGCCGUCCAGCCAGGGGCCGCUGGUCCACAGCGCUUUGGUCCACGCUCGUUGGCCGGUGAUGUCCAGACUGCGUCACCACCGCACGGUGCACCUGCUGCACAUUUCUCUACACAUUUACAAACACUGAAACAAUACAGAUUAGUUAUUUUUUAACGUGUUUUCAAGCACAGAUCUCAACCACAAAUCUGUUGAACACUCUGUCUGUUAAAACACUGUUUUUACAGACAGAAUAGAAAAUAGACGUAAUGUGUGCAACUAUUCAGGGACCUGAACGCCAAAGGUGUUUUGAGCGUUUUUCUUUUUUUAUGAGGUGCUGGAAAUUUGUGUUGUGGACUUCAGGCUGAAAUUUCCGGGUUCAUCUCCCAAUGUCCUCCGCCUGUCUGUUAUCUUCAAGCAGGAUUUCUAACGCCUGUACGUCCUACAUGUAUCUGAAGUCUAAGUUGUACGUUGCUUUGGAGCUGGAACACGGUUCGACACUAGUCUCACAGCAAUAGACAAAGUUUGUGUCCGUCUUUACUUCAUGCAUAAGGAUGGGAGCAAAAAGUUUGGGGUGAAUUUUGACACACUCCCACUUCUACUGUCAAUGUUCCUACUCAUGAGAUCAGGCAUGCAGGUGUUCGGUUCAGGGAUCACAUCCAACUCCGAGCGGUAAUACUCCGUACCUCAGGUGGAUUAAAACAGGAACAAAAUGUGUAAAGCACCGGCGAUGAGAUGAGUAGUUUGAUACGGAUUACAGCGGGGAUCGUGCUGCCAUCCCCUGCUAAACUCCACCCUGCUCACCUCCGCGCCAAAACAAUCGCUCAGAGUACCUCCAAAAUGUACCUCGCUGUUCCCGCCAACGCAUUAAAAACAAUAAUUUCAUUACAACAAAUUGCGUCAUUUAAAUAAUAACAAUUUCACCUCAACACAGGCGAUUAUGUUGUGCAUGUGUGUGCGGCGCUGGGAUUGUUUUAGAGUAGGUUUAAACCAUUCCCCAUGCCAGGGAGAUCUCCCCCCAGCCCGGUGUUCUGGGUUGAACCUGGCACAGGCCAACGCGGGCAGAUUAUAACCCACGCGCCCUGCCUUAAUCCCUGCUCCCUCGCCUCUCUCUCUCUCCCUCCCUGCUCUGGCUCGGUCCAGCUCAGUCCUGCCAGAUGCUUCCCAUGUUGUCCGACUCCAGUCUCUGACCUGCUCCUGCUGGGGUUUGUCUUCUGUCUUCUUUUGUUCUGUUUUUUCUUUUUUUCGGGAGGGGGCAAAAUGGCGUCCGUCUGCGUUUAGAUGGAUUGUUGCGCGGUUGUGUUGAGCCCGGGCAUCCCGGCGGGCAUGGGACCGAGGCCCUGGUUUGGGGGAAAACAUUUGAAUGGACUCACGAAGCCUGAGGCAGGCAGGCAGAAUGCAGGGCCCAGCAGCGGCAGCCAGGGCCUUCACAGCCCACUACUGGCCCCUCAAUCUACUGCAGGCUACAGUGGAGUGAGGCUCCCUCUCAGCAGUCCCAAGAUGGAGGGCUUCCCCCGAGGCUGUGCGACCGCCAAGAAGGACCGAGGGCAUCACAGAACUGACCACGCGCAGCAAAAAGGGGUGCCGUACUGCAGACUGUCCCCUCCCCUGGAGAACGGCCUGAAGACGCCGGCCGAGCCCAAGGCGCGGGGUGGGGGCUCCGGCUCCGGUCCUCGUCCGGAC
ensembl:lncRNA